CGCCUCCGACGCCCUCCGCCUCUUCUCCCUCCCCCGACCGCCUCUCCCUCUCCCCCGACCGCCUCUCCCUCUCUCCGAAGCUUCUCUCUCCGGCUUCACCGCCCAUCCUCUCGUCGCGCUGCCGGGAGCUUGAUCUCCCCUUCCAUGACCGCGCAAGAGAAGUAAGGCAAGGGAGGAAGAAAAAAGAGGGGAGAAGCUUCGGGAAGGAAGAAGAAGAAAGAGGAGAAGGAAAAGAACAGAAAAAGAAGAAAAGAAAAAUAAAAGAAAAGAAAAAAAAGAGAAGAAAAGGAAAUGAAAAAAAAAUAGAGAAGAUAAAAUAAAUAAAUAAAUAAAAAUAAAUAUUAGUAAUUGUUUAACCAAUUUUAUCGUCUAGCUAGAAAAUUUGUUAGAGAGAUAAAUGGUCAUCAGAAGAGUGAAAAUUAAUUUACGCUAAUAAUUAAAAUAUUUUAUACCUUUAUUAUUGUAUUAUACUAUAAAUAUAAUAUUUAUUAUAUUAUAUCAUAAUACAUUAAUAUGUUAUGUUAAAUAAUUUAAUAUUAUGUUGUAUUAUGAGAAAUUAAUUUAUGCUAAUAAUUAUAAUAUUUU
rnacentral:lncRNA from 1 species